GCCUUUUAAAGUAUUACCCUUUGGUUUGCCCUCAUCUUCAUCCUCAUGGUAACCCAGCCCAUCUCAAUUCCUUUGACCUUUGAAGUCUGGUAGCUCCACAAUACCCUACUAGUUCUUUCCUAACCCCAUUCCAGACAUAAAAUCCAUCUUCUUAAAUAUGUUGGCUACUUUAGUAUAACACCCCAACUCAAACUUCCCAUUGAAUAGCAAUAUAUAUAUAUAUAUAACUUUAUAAACAUAAUUUACUACUUAGUUACAAUAUACAUUCAUACAAUUUAAGUGGCAUGACAUACUUUAUAUAAGAAAUAUUUAUACAGUAGUUUAAUUCACACAAGUUCCCAAAAUGCCCCAAUGCUUUAGAUAACUCCUCUGGCCCACCUGAUAAUAUUGACUGAUGCAAAAAGAGCAAUGCACAGCUAAGGCUAUCUACAACUGCACUAACCUGAAAAAAAAAAUUGCUAAGGAAUGAGCUAGCGACUAAAUAAGCAUUUAAUUUACUAAACUAUAGUAUAUUAGGCUAGAAUUAUCAAAUCUUUAUCAAUACAGAAAAUUAUACCAACACUUAACUAACAAUCACAAAAUCAACCAUUUCAGUUAUUCUCAUAAACAUAUAAUUUCA
rnacentral:lncRNA from 1 species